ensembl:lncRNA
GUACAUAUUUGUAUAUAAUAGUCAAAUAUAACCUUAAUAGCAACAUUAAGGUUAUACAGCUUUUUUUUAAAUAACUUAAGCACAUCGUAUUUUAAGCAAGUGUGUGAGUUUUUAAAUAUUAAGUUUAAGCUUGUAUUAAGUUAGUAAACGUACAAGUUAAAGGGACACUGUGUAGAAAUUACUCCCAUCUAGUGGUAAAAUUGUAUAUUGCAUUCAAACUAAUAGUGCUCGCUUGUUCAGAAACUACGGUGGGCAGUAUGUGCCAAGAAGCUGUGUCAUGACAUCCAAUACUACCUCAUCGAGUCAUUCGAGUGAUGUUCAUAGACCGGAAGAACAUGGAAGCCUCCAUGAAGCUUACCCGUCCUAUGUUGACAGAAGGGGACGCAGGCGAAGACAGAGGGAGAUGAAGACAGAUGGAGACGGAAGCCAGCCAGCUCCAUCUACAGGCCAGGCUGUUGUACAAAGUUGUAUAAAGUAGAAGUAGAAAACAUACGUUUUAGGAAAGUUUUAGGAAAGAACAUCAUAUUUCAAAUGACCGAGCCUUAUUUUACUGAAGGGGAGAAGAUGGAAGGUGCUGUGGACAGACGGAGAUGAAGACACAGAGAGGCGAGCACGAAGACAGACGAGGAAGAAGACAAUGGGAGACGAAGACACACGUGGAUGAAGGAACAGAGCGAAGAAGGCGAGGAAGAAGAUAGACAGAGACAAAGACUGACAGAGACGAAGACAGACAAAGACGAAGACAGACGGAGAUGAAGACAGACGAAGACGAAGAGUGAGUGAGACAAAGACUGAGAGAGAGGAAGACAGACGAAGACGAAGACAGAGAGAGACGAAGACAGUUGGGGAGUGAUGAAGAAGGCAUAGCAAGAUGACCUGACUCUGUUCCUUCUCUCUACCUCUAUAAGGCUCAGAAGAGGGGGAGCAGUGUAGAGGAAGAGGAGUGGAGGGACAUGGUCCAGACCUCCAUACCACAGCUGUACCCCAGCACCUGGUCCUACUACUGCUUCUGACAGAUCAUCCCCACAUCGUUAACUGCCCUUAACACCAUGUCUAACUCAUUCACACCCUACUCUGUUUCCAAUAAAAUAUGAAAUAUG